rnacentral:rRNA from 1 species
UAACCUGCGGAGGGAUCAUUACACAACAAAAAUAUGAGGGUGUGGUUUGCUGGCNACAGCGUCCGCCCCAAGUAUUUUUCACCCAUGUCUUUUGCGCACUUUUUGUUUCCUGGGCGAGUUCGCUCGCCACCAGGACCCAACCAUAAACCUUUUUUUAUGCAGUUGCAAUCAGCGUCAGUAUAAUAAUUCAAUUUAUUAAAACUUUCAACAACGGAUCUCUUGGUUCUGGCAUCGAUGAAGAACGCAGCGAAAUGCGAUACGUAGUGUGAAUUGCAGAAUUCAGUGAAUCAUCGAAUCUUUGAACGCACAUUGCGCCCUUUGGUAUUCCAAAGGGCAUGCCUGUUCGAGCGUCAUUUGUACCCUCAAGCUUUGCUUGGUGUUGGGCGUCUUUUUGUCUCUCCCCUUGUUGGGGGAGACUCGCCUUAAAACGAUUGGCAGCCGACCUACUGGUUUUCGGAGCGCAGCACAAAUUUGCGCCUUCCAAUCCACGGGGCGGCAUCCAGCAAGCCUUUGUUUUCUAUAACAAAUCCACAUUUUGACCUCGGAUCAGGUAGGGAUACCCGCUGAACUUAAGCAUAUCAAUA